GACGAACGCUGGCGGCGUGCCUAAUACAUGCAAGUCGAACGCAGUGGGGACUGGUGAGUAACACGUGGGUAACCUACCAUCAGAGGGGAUAACACUUGGAAACCGGUGCUAAACCGAUACUGAUGGAUGGACCCGCGGUGCAUUAGCUAGUUGGUGAGGUAACGGCUCACCAAGGCCACGAUGCAUAGCCGACCUGAGAGUGUGAGUGGCCACACUGGGACUGGUACACGGCCCAGACUCCUACGGGAGGCAGCAGUAGGGAAUCUUCGGCAAUGGGCGAAAGUCUGACCGAGCAACGCCGCGUGAGUGAAGAAGGUUUUCGGAUCGUAAAGCUCUGUUGUUAGAGAAGCGGUAUCUAACCAGAAAGCCACGGCUAACUACGUGCCAGCAGCCGCGGUAAUUC
rnacentral:rRNA from 1 species